CGCGUGCCCUUGGUUGGCUUGCUGGCUGGGACUGCGCAUGCGCACUGCCUGGGCAGGCGUAUAACGACUCUCGCAUGCGCAUAACGACUCUCACCGAGUUGAAUUCGCAGGCGAGCAGGGCUGGAUCGGGUGCGGUGCCACCUCGGGAGGCAAAGUGAUGGGCCCGGAUAACUAGGUCCCAUACCAUCUUUGGGACAUACUCUUACUAAAAGUUUUCCGACAUCCAGUAUUUCAUCUAGCAAUCCUCACAUUGGACCACACCCUUGCCUGGCAGAUUGGAGAUUGGAAUGAGCUUGUAAGAGAACCCUCAGCUCCAGGAGAGAGUGCAGCUGGCCAACACCUUCCCUGCAGCCUGAGCGAAGGACCAGCCACGCUGUGCCGCACUUCCAAGCCACACAACCGUGAGCUCGUAAAAAGGUGUUGUUUUAAGCUCCUGAAUUUGAGUCGUUCGUCACGUGGCACAGAAAACGGAUACAGAGGUCGCGUAACUACCACCGGGUGAAGCCCGGGAGGUAACAGGCCAGACCCUGCAGGGCCAUCGGCCGCGGGAAGGACUUUGCAUUUGUGCUGAGGGACCCAGAAAACCACGCCAAGUGUGUUUGCGGAUCGCCCGGGGCACUGUUGACUGUGAGUGACGGGAAAUCUCACAAAUUACUUAACUCCCAAAUCCAGGACUUCAGGAAUGGCUGGAUCCAGGAGCUCAAGGAUUACUUUCAGAAGUCUGCGUCUUUCCCUCCCUCUACCUUGCUGUCUUCUGCCUUGUCUUCUGCCUCACCUUCGUUCUCUGGCAGGUCCUCCCCACAUGGUGGCUGAGAUGACCACCAGCAGUUGGGAGUCGCAGCCUGUCACCUUAACAAUCCGGUCAGAGACCCCACCUUUCCACAUGGCUCCCCUAAGAGUCCUGGGAUGACCCGGAAAGGCUCAGCUUGGGUCACAUGACCGAUGCAGAACCAAUCACAAAGGGCGGGGGAAGGGGCACUGCAGAGGGGAGGCCUCAGCCCCAUACCUGUU